AGUGAACGCUGGCGGUAGGCCUAACACAUGCAAGUCGAACGGCAGCACAGGAGAGCUUGCUCUCUGGGUGGCGAGUGGCGGACGGGUGAGGAAUACAUCGGAAUCUACUCUGUCGUGGGGGAUAACGUAGGGAAACUUACGCUAAUACCGCAUACGACCUACGGGUGAAAGCAGGGGACCUUCCGCCCUCGCCCGAUUGAAUGAGCCGAUGUCGGAUUAGCUAGUUGGCGGGGUAAAGGCCCACCAAGGCGACGAACCGUAGCUGGUCUGAGAGGAUGGUCAGCGACAGGGGAAAGGGGCCACGGUCCAGACAUCUACGGGAGUGAGCUGUGGGGAGUAGUAGACAAGGGGCGCACGCCUGACGCCGCCAUAGCGCGUGGGUAAAGGAGGCCUUCGGGUUGUAAAUCCGUUUUGUUGGGGAAGAAAUCCAGCUGGCUAAUACCCGGUAGGGAUGACGGUACCCAAAGAAUAAGCACCGGCUAACUUCGUGCCAGCCGCCGCCGUAA
rnacentral:rRNA from 1 species